rnacentral:rRNA from 1 species
CUAAGCACUAAAAUCGCUGAUUAAAACUUAAAGAGCAUGGCGGUCACAAAAAAGUUCAGGGGAACUUACCAAGUAAUAGACAACCCACAAGUUACCCUUCUUGUUUUACAGUUUGUAUACCGCCGUCUAAGUAUUACUUAUGGUAGUGCUAAAAUAGUUUACUAAAAGGACAGGUCAUGGUGCAGCUAAUAAACAAGUUUAGGCGAGUUACAAUAAAAAUUUUUUUUUCAAAAAUUUUUAAACUAUUUUGUGAAGUGGACUUGAAAGUAAUAUUUAAAAUAAAUAUAAUCUGAAUGCUUAUUUUGUGGUGC